rnacentral:rRNA from 1 species
GACGUAGGGCGCGAGCGUUGUCCGGAUUUAUUGGGCGUAGAGAGCUCGUAGGCGGCUUGUUGCGUCGACUGUGAAAACCCGCGGCUUAACUGCGGGCUUGCAGUUGAUACGGGCAGGCUAGAGUUCGGUAGGGGAGACUGGAAUUCCUGGUGUAGCGGUGAAAUGCGCAGAUAUCAGGAGGAACACCGGUGGCGAAGGCGGGUCUCUGGGCCGAUACUGACGCUGAGGAGCGAAAGCGUGGGGAGCGAACAGG